CCUACGGGAGGCAGCAGUGAGGAAUAUUGGUCAAUGGCCGAGAGGCUGAACCAGCCAAGUCGCGUGAGGGAAGACGGCCCUAUGGGUUGUAAACCUCUUUUGUCAAGGAGUAAAACGAGUCACGUGUGCCUUUUUGCCAGUACCUGAAGAAUAAGCAUCGGCUAACUCCGUGCCAGCAGCCGCGGUAAUACGGAGGAUUCGAGCGUUAUCCGGAUUUAUUGGGUUUAAAGGGUGCGUAGAUGGGUGGUGAAGUCAGUUGUGAAAGUUGGGGGCUCAACCCCAGUAUUGCAGUUGAUACUGGAAGUCUUGAGUACAGGUGAGGUAAGCGGAAUGCGUGGUGUAGCGGUGAAAUGCAUAGAUAUCACGAAGAACCCCGAUUGCGAAGGCAGCAUAC
rnacentral:rRNA from 1 species